rnacentral:tRNA from 1 species
UCCCGAAUGGCUCAGAUGGGAAAGAAUCUGCCUAUAAUGCAGGAGACCCAGGUUUGAUCCCUGGGUCAGGAA